rnacentral:rRNA from 1 species
UACGUAGGGUGCGAGCGUUAAUCGGAAUUACUGGGCGUAAAGUGUGCGCAGGCGGCUUCGCAAGUCGAGUGUGAAAUCCCCGAGCUUAACUUGGGAAUUGCGCUCGAAACUGUGGGUCUCGAGUGUCGGAGAGGAUGGCGGAAUUCCUGGUGUAGAGGUGAAAUUCGUAGAUAUCAGGAGGAACACCGGUGGCGAAGGCGGCCAUCUGGACGACAACUGACGCUGAGAUGCGAAAGCGUGGGGAGCAAACAGG